UCCUUAUAGUUCUACAUCUGAGCCUCAUACAAUUUUAAGCCAUGGCUCAUUGGGCGUGGCGUGGGGAAGCCUCAGAUUUCUAGACUAUUUAACUAUGUUCGUAUGAAUAUUGUUCUAUUUGAUGAAGUCAUGAUUUCUGCCCAGAUCCAAGCUUCCAGAGAGCAGAAGACAAGUUGUCUACUUCCCCCCAAGCUGCAUGUUUUGCUUUUGUGGUCUCUGUGUCAUUCCAGGCUAAGCCUUGUAACAAUUUGACUGGGCCAUUGAUCAAAGCCAGUUUUUGUACUCUCAACACAUCCCAACAAUGGGAGGUAGGAGGGACCACACAGAUGCUUCCAAAAUGUUGAACCGCGAGAAGGAAUAGAGAGUUUCUCUAACAUGCUGAUAUCGAUAUGGUCUGCAGACUAUUUCGGUUCCUAGGCUUAUAAGACCUCUUUUAACUCAAGAAAAUAAGGAAACGAUCUUUCCUGAGAUGCCAUGGUUCCCUGUGGCCUUUCUGGAGACGUCCACACGACCCAGAGGCAGGGGUGUCUUAGGGAAGCGGCGGCC